rnacentral:rRNA from 1 species
CGGUAAAUACGGAGGAUGCGAGCGUUAUCCGGAUUUAUUGGGUUUAAAGGGUGCGCAGGCGGUCUGUAAGUCAGCGGUCAAAGCCCGGGGCUCAACCCCGGCCCCGCCGUUGAAACUGGCAGUCUCGAGUUGGAGAGAAGUAUGCGGAAUGCGCGGUGUAGCGGUGAAAUGCAUAGAUAUCGCGCAGAACUCCGAUUGCGAAGGCAGCAUGCCGGCUCCACACUGACGCUGAGGCACGAAAGCGUGGGUAUCGAACAGGAUUAGAUACCCUGGUAGUCCACGCAGUAAACGAUGAAUGCUGGCUGUCCGGGGGGACUGACCCCUGGGUGGCGAAGCGAAAGCGAUAAGCAUUCCACCUGGGGAGUACGCCGGCAACGGUGAAACUCAAAGGAAUUGACGGGGGCCCGCACAAGCGGAGGAACAUGUGGUUUAAUUCGAUGAUACGCGAGGAACCUUACCCGGGCUCAAACGGGGAGUGGCGCAGGCAGAGACGCCUGUUUCCCACGGGACACUCCCCGAGGUGCUGCAUGGUUGUCGUCAGCUCGUGCCGUGAGGUGUCGGCUUAAGUGCCAUAACGAGCGCAACCCCCGCGUGCAGUUGCUAACAGUCAACGCUGAGGACUCUGCACGGACUGCCGGCGCAAGCCGCGAGGAAGGCGGGGAUGACGUCAAAUCAGCACGGCCCUUACGUCCGGGGCGACACACGUGUUACAAUGGGUGGUACAGCGGGAAGCCAGGCGGCGACGCCGAGCGGAACCCGAAAUGAAUCCACCACAGUGCGAGGAUGAUCA